UUGCUUUGGCAGCAUGUAUAUUAGAAUUGGAAUGAUACAGAGAAGACUGGUGUGACAUUGCGCAAAGAUGACAUGCAAAUUCAUGAAGCAUUUCAUAUUAAC
ensembl:snRNA U6 U6 spliceosomal RNA